AUACUCGGGUAAUCGCUGUAUGUACACAUACAGAGGAAAGUCCAUGCUCGCACAGACUGCGAUGUCUGUAGUGUUCGUGCCUGACGAAAUCAUAAGUCAGGGUAGUCUUUAGACUAACGGCAGGGAAAAUUCCUACGUCUUCGGAUAUGGAAUGAAUACCUUGAAAGUGCCACAGUGACGGAGCCAAAAUAGAAAUAUUUUGGGUGGAACGAGGUAAACCCCGCGAGCGAGCAACCCAAAUGAAGGUAGGGGCAUUCUUCAAUGGGAAUUGAACCAGAGAAGAGACCGUUGAUACGGCAGAUAGAUGAUUACCACCGGAGUACGAGGUUGACCGCCGUUGGCAGUACAAUGGUACAGAACAUGGCUUACAGAG
rnacentral:RNase_P_RNA from 1 species